rnacentral:rRNA from 1 species
UAGGACGAACGCUGGCGGCGUGCCUAAUACAAUGCAAGUCGAACGGUCUUUCUAUGGAAGCUUGCUUCCACUGAGAAGAUAGUGGCGAACGGGUGAGUAACACGUGGGUAACCUGCCCAUAAGAGGGGGAUAACAUCCGGAAACGGGUGCUAAUACCGCAUAGUUUUCUUGAUCGCAUGAUCGGGAAAGGAAAGACGGCCUUUGUGCUGUCGCUUAUGGAUGGACCCGCGGCGUAUUAGUUAGUUGGUGAGGUAACGGCUCACCAAGACGAUGAUACGUAGCCGACCUGAGAGGGUGAUCGGCCACAUUGGGACUGAGACACGGCCCAAACUCCUACGGGAGGCAGCAGUAGAGAAUCUUCCGCAAUGGACGAAAGUCUGACGGAGCAACGCCGCGUGAGUGAAGAAAGGUUUUCGGAUCGUAAAACUCUGUUGUCAGAGAAGAACAAGUUGGAGAGUAACUGCUCCAGCCUUGACGGUAUCCGACCAGAAAGCCACGGCUAACUACGUGCCAGCCGCUGC